GUCUAACACUAAGAGACUGCAAUUCCUUAAUACGGAUCAUUACGUAACCCCAAAUUUGAAAUUCUUCGGUAUGCUUGUGGAAAUCAGCUUGCGCCUUAGAUUGCGCAGUACAUGCAUGAAUGCUCUUAUGGAUUUUCUGAUGCAACUCAUGGAUGUGCUGUGUUAGUGCAUGUGCAGACUCGAAAAUCGUAAUAUGGGGUGACAUGGACAAGGAAUCUAGAAAUUUCUUAGCUUUGUAACCAUGCACUACACUCAUGGUAGACUAGGCAAACUUUCUCUCUAAAGGUGCAAAUGAUAUAGGCAUAGUGCGAAUGCAUCCUAGAGUAGCAGGUCCUUUAUCAACCUCUUCCUCAAUGUCCCGAAUGUCAUCGAAAUUUGGUUCGUAGACUUGCCCUUCCAAGUCAUUUGUAUCAUUUCAAAUCUUGUUGAUCAAUAACUAGAGUCUUAUUGGCACAUUGGGAGGCAACGUGACCGAAACCCUGAUAUUUAUAGCACUGAAUUCUAGAGGUUGGCUUUGGGGGUUCAUCGAAGAUUCCCUUUCCUUUGGUGUCCCGAUUUGUGGUAGAGGCAGUAGGAGGGGGUCUAGGGGCAGAGGACCCUACAGAAGGUUUGGACCCUGAAGAAUUGGGCCCAUAGAAGUACUUCGUGUGUUAGGGCGCCUUACAAAUAUGGACUUAGUAACAUGCUCGUAGUUCCGCACAAUUGCAUAGGUCUGGUCUAAUGUGGACACUUCUCGGAGGACAAGUUCCUUCUGAAAUUCAUCAUUGAGACCUCUAUGGAACCGACUUAGGACCAUUCUCUCAUCCUCAAUCACAUUACAUUGCAUCAUAUAUUCAUCAAAUUGUGCGAUGUAGUCAGUGGCUGAUUGAGUACCUUGUCGUAAAUUGUUCCAUCGGUCCAGGAGAUCAUCUUGGUAAUUAAGGGACAAGU
rnacentral:lncRNA from 1 species